rnacentral:rRNA from 1 species
UACGUAGGGGGCAAGCGUUGUCCGGAUUUAUUGGGCGUAAAGAGCGUGUAGGCGGCCAGGUAGGUCUGCUGUGAAAACUCGAGGCUCAACCUCGAGAUGUCGGCUGAAACCAUCUGGCUAGAGUCCGGAAGAGGAGAAUGGAAUUCCCGGUGUAGCGGUGAAAUGCGCAGAUAUCGGGAAGAACACCCGUGGCGAAGGCGGUUCUCUGGGACGGUACUGACGCUGAGACGCGAAAGCGUGGGGAGCGAACAGG